rnacentral:rRNA from 1 species
GUGCCAGCAGCCGCGGUAAUACGGGGGGGGCAAGCGUUGUUCGGAAUUACUGGGCGUAAAGGGCGCGUAGGCGGUUUGCUAAGUUGAAUGUGAAAACUCUGGGCUUAACCCAGAGCCUGCAUUCAAUACUGGCAGGCUAGAGUUCUGGAGGGGAUAGCGGAAUUCCUGGUGUAGCGGUGAAAUGCGUAGAUAUCAGGAGGAACACCGGUGGCGAAGGCGGCUAUCUGGACAGAGUCUGACGCUGAGGCGCGAAAGCUAGGGGAGCAAACAGGAUUAGAUACCCUCGUAGUCC